AUCAGAACACUCCUGAACUGGGACGGUUUGGAUUAACUGCAGGUCUGGGGUAGUUUGGGUGGAGGUCAGGGGCAAUUUGGGUGGAGGUCAGGGGUAGUUUGGGUGGAGGUCUGGGGCAGUUUGGGUGGAGGUCUGGGGCAGUUUGGGUGGAGGUCAGGGGUAGUUUUAGUGGAGGUCAGGGGUCGUUUGGGUGGAGGUCUGGGGAAGUUUGGGUGGAGGUCAGGGGUAGUUUGGGUGGAGGUCAGGGGUAGUUUGGGUGGAGGUCUGGGGCAGUUUGGGUGGAGGUCAGGGGUAGUUUGGGUGGAGGUCAGGGGUAGUUUGGGUGGAGGUCUGGGGCAGUUUGGGUGGAGGUCAGGGGUAGUUUGGGUGGAGGUCAGGGGUAGUUUGGGUGGAGGUCUGGGGCAGUUUGGGUGGAGGUCAGGGGUAGUUUGGGUGGAGGUCUGGGGUAGUUUGGGUGGAGGUCUGGGGCAGUUUGGGUGGAGGUCAGGGGUAGUUUUAGUGGAGGUCAGGGGUCGUUUGGGUGGAGGUCUGGGGAAGUUUGGGUGGAGGUCAGGGGUAGUUUGGGUGGAGGUCAGGGGUAGUUUGGGUGGAGGUCAGGGGUAGUUUGGGUGGAGGUCUGGGGAAGUUUGGGUGGAGGUCUGGGAUAGUUUGGAUGGAGGUCUGAGGCAGUUUGGGUGGAGGUCAGGGGUAGGUCCAGUACUUCGGGGGCUUCUCCACG